ensembl:lincRNA
GUUCGCUGCCAUUUUAUUGACCCGGGGAAAAGGAGAAAGCCAAAUGGGCAUAGUAUUCCUGAUUUAAACUGAAUUCAGUUCAAUCCAUCACAUAUUUUUGAAAGUACACUCUGUGACUGGUACAAGGCAUACAGAAAUGAGAAGGGUUUGUUUCAGAUGAGACAGAUGCUUACAAUAUAUGGGGAUUAGGGAACUUUCAGUUGUAUGUACUAAUAAGCCCUAGUUUGAGGAAGGGUCUUCUCACCCCAGUGAGAGAAUCACUUGUCCAUCCACAUUAGAACUCUCAGCCCCUUUGUUACAUUAGGACAUGGCGUGAGACUCUAAGUCCUCUGUGUAGCUCCAUGGGGGACACUAGGACAACUGGUGGGAAAUGGUGGAUUGUUCUAAUGAUUGUGACUCUUGGAGUGGCUGGCGGCCAAUGGCAUUGAAGGUAUUAAAAGUCUAACCCUCUUAGGUUGUGGAUUGGCAGGGAACCAUUUUACUAGUUAGUAGAAAAGCCACUACAAAGACUUUUUUUACAUACCAAGAGCAAACUGUAUUGAAAGCUGUCAUGGUAAUAAGACAUCCUUGCAGACCAGGAAACACAGAAUCCAGUCUCUCUUCCUCAGCCUCCUCAAGGCCUUUGCAGCACUUCUGCUCAAAAGCAUUUCCCUAAAUCCUCGAACUGGGUACCAGAUCUUUAUUCUGAAGGAAAAGAAGUUGCGGCUGGAGCUUCUCCACGUUAGACAUUUGAAUAACUCCACUUGGGAAGAACCAAAUGCACCCACUGCAGGGCGGGACAAGACCUCCGCCUUCAGAGACUACGCGCUUCAUCCUAUUCUGGUGAGAAGAAAAUAAAUCCCAGCUCCAAAAUCCUGGAAGAAGGAAACUGUACUUUUCCUCAACAGACUCUAUGAAAGUAAAAUGCUAAGUCAUUUAGCUUUAGGAAAUCCACCCUUUAUCUUGUUUACAGAUACCCUGCUUCUUUAACUGCAUUUUCUAGGCUUCAGAUAUCUUGCCAACAUCAUGUUCUACUGUGUAUCCAAUUGUUAUCAACAUACUUUACGAGAGAGAAUUGAGCCGUGCUGCCUGAAGGCAGCCUUGUAUGUAAUGAACUCACAUCUCCUCAAUGGAUCUAGAAUGAUGCUCUCUUAUGCACCACCCACAGAAGAACUGAGAAAAGAGUCACAUUAGUUUUGGGACUCUGUGGUUUCGAUGAGGAACACUGGUUGAGAAAGGUUGGGAAAAAAUGAUAAAGAUCAUUUUCAUAGACUCAUCUUCAAACAGAAUCAUAACAGUUCUUUUACUCUUUUCCUCAAAGCUUUAAUUUGCACCAAUAAAACCACGCUUGGGCCAUUCUUCUGAAUCUUCUCCCUGUUUGCACAACAUUUUUAACGUUUUGGACUCAAGUAUCAGAUAUUUAAGUCCAGUGAUGUUAUAACAAGUUCUAGAUAUCAAGACCUUUACUUUUACUAUGCAUUGAAUGUGACUGUUUAAAAAUGUUAGCCACCAUGAAGCAUUUCCUCUUUAUUAGUCUUAGCAAUCUUUAAGUGUAGGGUGAAACUUCUUACUAUCCAUUAAUGUUUGUGAAUAUCAGUCAUUCAAUUUUGUUUCCAAAGCCUUCUGUUACAAAAAGACAGCACUGAAAUGGGACCUCUUUCUCUGACGGAAAGAUUUCUCCCCUGUCUCUGCUUUUCUGUCUUCUUGCCACUGAAGUGGAAGAACCAGCUCUGUGUUUCAUUAUCCAAGUGCUUCUGGAAAAGGCCAGAGAAAUUAGUCCUUUUGUAAUGCUUACUGCUCCAUCAGCAGGGUUCACCAUACUUGGAAUGUGAUCCUAGGCCAUCUUGCCCCAGAUUAUAUUUGGGUCUAUCACCUUGACACAAAAUUAAAAGAACUAAGUUAUUUCCCAUGAGACCGACAUUUUAGACAGAACUUGGCAUAGUAAAAAUUGCUCCCAAUACCGUGUUCUAUUUAGGCUGAUUACUGAUUGUGGGACUCUCUUCAAGAUAUAAGACUUGGGCUUAAAGAGCUCUGAUUUCCAAAGUUAGUUCUUUUUCUUUCCAAAAAUAAGUACUUAGCUUGUUAUUUUGUCUUCAGAAGCCUCUCUCCAUUCCCCUCAAAGAGUAACAAAGUAAACAAACAAUAAAUGAAAAUCUGACUUUAACAGAGAAUAUAUAGUUUUUAAAUAUUGGUAAUAAAAUGUAUUUGUUUUUAUUUUCACCUGAGAAGUGCUCUAUCACCGUCCCCAAAUUCUGGGAAUUGGUUUGUUUUAAAUAUAGGUUAUUUAUUAUAGGAACCUCUUAUCUGCAAUUUUUAUGAAAAAAGGGAAAUAGUUUCUCAGUAUGAAAGUUACGCAGCGCAGCAAUUUACAGGACAGCAGUAAUUUGCUAAAUGAUUUCCUAGUGAAAUGAAGACAUGACUUUGCCUCCUUGAAUGCUUCCCGCCAGGCUUGCAAUAAUUUUAGGCAGGUGAUCAGCUGGAGCCCCUCGACUCUAACUAUAAAAAGAAAAGGCAGGUCAUUAUGUUAUAUUAAGGAAAUAAAAGCUAUAUAGCAUUCAGUUUUUGUGUUUGGGGAGGCUCAGGGUUUUCCUUCUUUUGCUUUAUUUUUUGUUGUUGUUUUUUCCGUCCUGAUGCUAAUGACUUCCAGAUUGGCACAAACCUAGGUCUUGUACUAUGGGUACUUUUCCCAGCACAGGGGAUAAAUUCAGGCCAUUAUGUCCACAUUUUCUUUCUAAGUCAUUUAGCCCCUUCAUGUGGCCAUGAAACAGAGUAAAGCUAACUGACCUACCUAGAAAUUGAAACUAUAACCUUCAUCAGUUUUGGCCCAUGGUCCAAUCAUCUGAGCUAACCAGGCAAAUAACACACUGGAAUAAGAAACAGUUUGCCUCCAAAAUUACAGACUUACCAUAUGAGAUAUGAAUGCAUUUUUUUAAUAUCAAAAUGUUUCUGAUAAAAUGUUAAGCUAAAAAGAACAAUCUAUAUGAUUAAGUAUUCUAUUACUAAAAUUAUGUGAAGACCAACAGACUUAUGCUUAUAAUUCACAAAUGAAAGUGUUAACAUUUUAGAUAGAUUUUCUCUAUAUUUCUCACAUCACCUAUAAUGUCUUAUAUUUCAAUUAAAAAACAACAAAAAAUUAAGACGAUAUAGUUUUUCAGUAAAGCCCCUGCAUGGUUUGCAAAUCUUCCAAAGGCUAUACAUUUUCAAAUCUAGGUAUAUUGGAAAAUAUUAAAUAAUUUGAAAAAGUGUGUCUCUUGUUGCUGGCAGCUAAGAGCAAACAUCAUCAGAAGGCCAGAAAGCAGCCCCAAACAUUUCUGUACUCUAUAUGAUGAUAAUAAAAUUAGGUUAAGUUAAGGUUAAGAAUAAUCAGGUUAAGAGGAGAUUAUUUAGGAGAUAUUUUGUCAUAAAGAACUCAUUUGAAUAUUAAAAUAUUUUAUCUCUUACCCAGAUUUUUAUGGAAUCAUGUAAAGCCCGUGGCUCAACAUUUUAAGAUAGUCAUCGAUAAAGAUAAAAAGUGGCAUGGUGAUUAAAACAGAAGACAGCUAAUAUAAUUAUUCCUAAAAUAAUUAUAUUGGAAUUGUGACAUUUAAUUAAUUAAGUAUAGGCAAUCUCAAUUAUAUUAAAUGUGAAGAAAGCUUAAAA